GAAAAAAUGUAUGGAGUGCAGAGGAAAAUGAAGGAAGUUGCGGAGGAGGCCAAGCCUCUUCUCUCAUUGCAAGACAAGAAUAACAUGGCAGACAAACAAGAAGAGGCCUUAGCCAAAGAUAUACAACAUCUUGCCACCUGGAUUGAUAUGAUAGAUGCCAUGAAUGAUGAGCAAUUAAAGGAACACAUAAGGAACAGACCAAAAACGAAUUCAUCAGUAAACACCCACAAAAAUGGUGAAAAAAAAGUGAGAAUUUAUUUCCAUCUGUUUUACAGAUUGAUAUGAUAGAUGCCAUGAAUGAUGAGCAAUUAAAGGAAUACAUAAAGAACAGACCUGAAGAGUUGAAGACAGUGAAGAUCCAGAAGAGCAAGCCCAGGCAAAAAGUAGCAUUCAAUUUCAACUUCAUCUUUAAAUUAAAAUUAAAACCUUAUAUUUAAUCAAGGUAGUAUAUUUCUUUAGUAAACUUGUAGCUUUAAAAAAUUAAUGGGAAUGAAAAUUAUGCAGGUGCAGAAAGCUGCAAAGUCCAACCCUACAACUUCAACUGGAAUAAUGGCUUCUGUCUGGAAAUUCCACAAAGAUGACAAUGAAGAUCAGAGCUCUACAAGAUCAUCUGAAGCCCGAAAAUUUUAACUUAGACACGAGAAAUAAGGUUAUAUUUGGAAUAAAUUUAGGAUUUCAAGCGAACGCUACAAAAUGUCCAUUUGUUCCAAAAGCAAGUUUAUUCUAGUAUUAAAUGUAAAUCAGCUCCCAAAAGCAAGUUGUAAUGAGUGAAUAAGAAAGUAUAUCAAAA